UCUUCCCAUUUAAAUAAAAAAAAAACCAAAACAAAACAUUUUUACUCAUCCAAGGCUUUAUAUCUGUGAGAUGGGUAAAAAAAGCCCCCAAAGAGUUUAAGGUUGUCUGAGUACAGAGAUAUAAAGUUGUGUAUCAACUGCGUAGCAGUGAUAUUUGAAAUUAUGGUGAUUAAUAAUGUUGCCCAGAAGGAGUGUGUGUAAAGAAAAAAGAUUAGGACCUAAAAUACUUCCUUGAGGAACACCGUAUUUGGUAUCAAAUGUCUGUAAUACAAAAUAACCUAAACUAAUAAAAAGUUUCCUUCCUGUCAAGUUUUAGCGAAGCCAGUCAAGCACUACACCAGAGAGACCUACCUACCUAUUUCUCGAGCCUAUGGAUUCAUUUGAUCAAUUGUAAAACUCUCAGGUCAUUUAGUACCUUUUAAUAAAACUGUUUCAGUGCUGUGGUUAGUCUGAUUACCAGACUGGGACUUUUCCAGAAUAUUGUUAGCAUUUAGAUCAUGUAGUUCGUCAAAUUCCAUCUGCUCCAGACGGAAAAGGAAGAUUUGAGAUUGGCGUGCAGUUAUCAAGGUGAAUAAUAUCCAGAUCUGGCUGCUUACUGUGGUAGGGAACACUGGGAAACACUUCCCCCGUGCUGCCCCUGAACCUCCCUUGCUGAUUCACUAGCUCCUCCUUUCCUGUCAAUCACGGCCAGGGAUAUUGAAGACACCUGUUAGCUUUAUUGCUACCUCUUGCUUCUUCUAUGUGCUAUGGUUGUAGGUCUCCUCAUUCACACUGCAGAGCUCCUUCUGCUGACGUUCAAAGUCCUCCUUGCCCUGUUCAGGAAGACGAAGAGGUGAGAAAAGAUUUAUGGACGCUGUUCGCAAUGGACAUCGGAGACAAUGAUAUCCUUGGAGAGUUCACCACAUCUGAAGCCAGCUAAGCACCAGCGGGAGGUUUUGGAUCCAUUCACCACUAUCAUCAAAACACCAACUGAAGGAAUAUCUCUCGGAAGAACAGUGUUCAUUCCCUCUGAUGUCUCUUGCAGCGUUGUGGGCCAUUUUCCUCGCUCCCCAGAACUGCUCGAUAACGUUCCCCUCUGCUGCUCGGAGCUGCACCAGCCUAUUAAAGUGCCAAACUAAUUAAUGCAGGACUGUCUGUGGCCACAGAGACUGAUGGUGUGUCUGUCCAACAGUCAGACGUCACUGGAAAACAACACGGCCUUGUCUGGACUCCUGCAACACACUGACACAUGGACAUACACGCACACAGAUCGGCUAGAGUACUCCUCGGUGGGACUUGGUAGACGUCUUGUCCAGGAGGAACCUGGUAGAUGCUCUGCUGGCCUUGCUGCUGUGGACUCUGGAGGGAUG